rnacentral:rRNA from 1 species
UACGGGGGGAGCAAGCGUUGUUCGGAUUUACUGGGCGUAAAGGGCGCGUAGGCGGUCGUGACAAGUCACUUGUGAAAUCUCCGGGCUUAACUCGGAACGGUCAAGUGAUACUGUCGGACUAGAGUACAGAAGGGGCAACUGGAAUUCUCGGUGUAGCGGUGAAAUGCGUAGAUAUCUGGAGGAACACCGGUGGCGAAGGCGGCAUCCUGGACCAACAUUGACGCUGAGGAGCGAAAGCUAGGGGAGCAAACGGG